GAGGAGCCGUUACGGCGGCCGCACGGCAGGCAGUGCCGAAACGGCGGAAACGAACGAAAAGGAGAGAAUAAUGGUGUAGAUGUGAGAAUACGCAGAGAAGCGCUUGUGCCAGCCUCAGCCCCUUCAACCUCCCGUGGUGGGGGUAAGUGGGGCUGCCUCGCGUUCAUUUGUGCUGUUCCUAUAAUAACCUUCAUUACAGGAAGUUAGAGGUAAAAACAUACAUCUGAAAAUCAGACACACCAACUUUGCAGUUGUUAUGGGGGAGAUGGAGGCUGCCUUUACCAGAAACAAGAGGCAGAAACAGGCCAUAGGCCAGAGUUGGAACACUUACUCGUUGCUGCCAGGGAUUUCAGUGAUUCGAAGAGAUCUGGACUAGAAAACUUGACCAGACAUCUGAAUGGUUGUUUUCGAUGCAAAACACCCAUUUUAGGAUCACUUUCAAACAUCGUCUCAAGCUGUUAACAUAAAAUUUAACCAGGGAGUAUAAGCAAUAAAUAUUUUAUGUAUUAUUUAAACAUUAAAAAUGUAAUAUGUAGUAAGACUGUUAUCUUAUUUAUCACUUGUAAUGUUAAUGUGCUUCCAGCUGCAGGAAUGUUCUAAUGAAAUCAGAGGAUGCCACCAUGUGGUCAACAGUUUUCUGCUGAAAGAGGCAGCUUGGCGAGUAAAACUGGGAAAAGAAGAGAAAAAACGAAGACAACUUUGUCAGCUGAUACAAUACUGCUUUUCUCACCAGAUUAGUGAAAAUCUGAAAAUAAUAAUUUUAGCUAGCUUAGCAAAAAUGGAUCGUGAUGAAUUCUUUGUCUCCAUCAUUUGUAUUUUCAUUCCUUGCCAAGAGAAAAACCCAAACUAAUGAAUCUCACUUCAUAAGCCAGCAGAAACGACAUUCAAACUGCUGUUUAAUUUAAAAUACACAUACCACUUUCUGGUUCUACACUGUGUUCUUGUAGAGCUUCAGGAUAAUAAGUUUGGAAGUUCUAAAUGGAGAGAAAAAAAAAUGUUUAGUUCACUUCCACUUUUAGAGGCUGUAGCUGAAAAGAUUUCCACAUUUUACUUCAUUCUGAAAGUGAGCAUCCUUCCAAUUUUUGACAAUUGCUACAAGUCAGAAAGCCCAGCUUUAAGAAAAGAUCACCUUUGUGAACAUCUCCCUAUUUGCAGGUUUUACAUGGAUGAGCAGAGUAAGCACCUAUUCCAGUAGCCUUCACCUCAUUGCUCUAGGAAGCCUAGUGAAAUGAUGCCAAGAAAUCCUAGGACUAGAUUGUUCAUACAAUUUUUAGACUGAGUUUAACCAUCAGUAAUAACAACAAAGAGUAGGUGGGAUGUUAAGUAAUUACAUCCCUACUGUAAUGUUACCUUAAUAAAAAAAGGUUGUCCAUCUCAGUAGUUCAAUAUUAUUUUAACUUGAUGGCCUCUUGUAAGAGGUGAAUUUUCCCCCUUGCUUGGGGUUGAGAACUAGGCCUGAAAUAAAAGGCAAGAUUUAUCUUAGGAUAUAUUUAUGAAGUGGCUCACCUGGCUA